UUUUUUAAUUGAAGGCUAGAAUGAAUGGUUGGACAAGAAAUAAUCUGUCUUAAUUAAAGAUAUUGAAUUUAACUUUUAAGUGAAAAGGCUUAAAUGAUCUGAAGGGACGAUAAGACCCUAUAAAACUUUAUAUUUAGGAGUAGAAUUAUUUUUAUUUAAAGAUUACUAUUUUAUAGUAUUUGGUUGGGGCGACAGGGAUAGAAGAAAAAAUAACUGUCUUUUUUUUUUUACAAUAAUAUUUGGUUUAAUGAUCCUAAAAUGGAUUUAAGAUUAAGUUACUUUAGGGAUAACAGCGUAAUUUUCUUUAAGAGUUCUUAUCGACAGGAAAGUUUGCGACCUCGAUGUUGAAUUAAAGGUUCUUUAUAGAGUAGAAACUAUAAUAAAAG
rnacentral:rRNA from 1 species